rnacentral:rRNA from 1 species
GAGACUCUGUGCGCGUGCAUAUCAAUAAGCGGAGGAAAAGAAACUAACAAGGAUUCCCUUAGUAACGGCGAGUGAAGCGGGAAGAGCUCAAAUUUGAAAUCUUAAAGGUUUUCCCUUGACGAAUUGUAGUUUAAAGAAGUGUUUUCUGUUGAAGUUUCGGUAAAAGUUCUUUGGAAUAGGACAUCAUAGAGGGUGAGAAUCCCGUAUUUGAUCAUUACUUUUCCAGCUGUGUGAUACACUUUCAAAGAGUCGGAUUGUUUGGGAAUGCAGUCCAAAAUGGGUGGUAAAUUUCAUCUAAAGCUAAAUAUUGGCGAGAGACCGAUAGCGAACAAGUACCGUGAGGGAAAGAUGAAAAGAACUUUGAAAAGAGAGUUAAACAGUACGUGAAAUUGUCAAAAGGGAAGCGUUUGACACCAGUGUUGUUUUCUCGAAAAUCAAUUAAAAAAGGCCCGGAUUUUGUGUUGUAUUGACCUUAAAAGCUUUCUUCACUCUUUUCUUGUCUUUUUUAAUGCACUUUUCGUUUAACAAGUCAACAUCAGUUUCUUUUGUUGUAAAAGGGUCAUUGGAAGGUGGCUUUCUUUUCGGAGAAAGUGUUUAUAGCCUUUGAUCUCUGCAACCGGAGAGACUGAGGUCUGCAGCGUAGACUCUUCGGGGUUAGAUACAUUUGUGCUAAGUUAUAGUUUUUCAUAGACAACAUGUUGACUAUGAUUAAUCAUGUAGCUUACUCGCUUAUGCUAUUUUACCUACGCUUAGGAUGUUGACAGCAGUAUAGACUGU